rnacentral:rRNA from 1 species
AUUGAACGCUGGCGGCAGGCCUAACACAUGCAAGUCGAACGAGAGGCGGACGGGUGAGUAAUGUCUGGGACACUGCCUGAUGGAGGGGGAUAACUACUGGAAACGGUAACUAAUACCGCAUAGCCUCAGCUGUGUCCAGAUGGGAUUAGCGAGUUGGAGGGGUAACGGCUCACCAAGGCGACGAUCCCUAGCUGGUCUGAGAGGAUGACCAGCCACACUGGAACGGAGACACGGUCCAGACUCUUACGGGAGGCAGCAGUGGGGAAUAUUGCACAAUGGGCGCAAGCCUGAUGCAGCCAUGCCGCGUGUGUGAUGAAGGCCUUCGGGUUGUAAAGCACUUUCGGCAGGGAGGCGUUACUCGCAGAAGAAGCACCGGCUAACUCCGUGCCAGCAGCCGCGGUAAUUC